AUUCUGAGGAAGUCCUAUAGCCUGUGUUAUAGAUGAUCAGUGGUUCCUUCUGGCCUUGGAAUCAUGAAAAUGAGGGUCAUAUAACUGUUGAAACAUGCCUGCAUUAAUUAAGGAGUUUUGCAUGUGACUGAGGGCAUCUGGCCCUAACUAUGUUAAAUAGCAUGAAGCGUGUGAUUUAAACCUACAAAAUUCAAGAAAUUCAGCUAAGGAUGCUGCCCACUCAUACACGAUUCAGAUUCAGUAGGAGGCAGGAUGCUCUUUACUCUUCAGCAACCAGUCUGGAGAACAGAGAAGGAAGACAGCAGCAGUAUAUGAACUUGGGGACUUUGCAUCUGCUGCUUGGACUACACGUGAGGUGCUAUUGCCAGGAGAAUAGAGCUGAGAUGUGAGCAUCGGAAUGAACAGGGUCUGCUCUCCUAAAUUUCCAGUUCCUGAGGCCUAUCAAACAACUAGUGUGAGGGGCAGUGCCUGCUACCUGCUUCAGGAACACCCUGGGUGGGAACUGGGCCUGGUGGCUGCUCCUGGAAUAUCCCAUAGGUCAGUAGCAAGUUUUUUUGCACUUGGCACCAAAGUAAUAAUGGGUGGUAGGGUAAAGGGAUGACAAGACUUGUUUCCUAGCAGGAAGAGGGACAUAUUUAAGCCCAGAAAUUUUUGGAGAUUUUUGCUGGGUAGGGUACCAACCUUUACAAAUUCUGCUUUAUCACUGGCACUUAACAACUAUGACUAAGUAUUUACUUAAAAAAAAUUAUCUCCCUUUGCAAACUGUUAGUACUCACUGUGCCUUCUCUUAAAAUCACAGCAGCUAGAGUUUAUGCCACAAAUUGGCAACAAAGAUUAUCUCUCUGGCUACAAGAUGAACCACACUUGCCUGUUCAGAGUAGCAGGUUCAAAGCACUAGCCCAGCUGCGGAGAGUUAAUUCCCCACAGAAUGCUAUAGAAGAGGGGAGUGCUGUGAAGAAUUUUGGCUAUGUCGGAGAGGGAAGAACCCAUGGAGGGUGGUGGCUCUGCUUGGGAUAUUCUGUGGAAUUUGGCAGGAAUAAGCUAUACUUUAGACUUGACUGAAGCAAGUAAUGCCUUAUAUCUUUAGGCUCAGAGAGGAGCCAUAACAAGCCAGGGCAAGAUCCAGGAAGCAUGAUCUUUCCAUUGCAGCUCUUGGUCCUUGCCUUUGUAUGAGGGGUGGAAAGUUCUUUGUAUGCUUUCCUCACCUUGCUGUUCCCCAAUACCAAUAUACUCACACUAGGCUAGAAAUGAUCUUGCCUUUAAUUUGGAUUUUGGCUGAGAGGAAACCCUGUUAUCUUUUUGUUUGGCCCAGAAGGGGCAUGAUAUUCUUUUAAUGUUUACUCUUCUCUUUUACAAUUAAGCACAUAAUAAAAAUGUUUAAACUCCAGUAAAGAAUGCA
rnacentral:lncRNA from 1 species